GCAAUUGCUUUUUGGUAGGGAAUUAAAAACAUUAGAAAGGUACACGAGCCCUAUGGAGUAGAAGGUACUGGGCAGUAUGGAUGGGAGGGAAAGCUACUCUGGAAAGAGGAAAAGUCCCAGGACUGAGGAGCAGAAGCAGAAAGCCUGGAUAGUUGCCAGUUUGGGCGGGGAAGGAAGUGGCAGAAGGGGGAGCAAGGCCAGAGGGGAGCCUGGAAAGACCAGGAAUGACUUGCAUUCUUGUGAUCACGAAGAUUCAGAGCACGCUCGGCAGUCGUUGGGAUCUGCUGCUUCUCUGCACAUCAGCACCAGCAUCGAGUGGUCAGGAUUCUCUGCACACCCACGUUCAAGAUGUGUUACAAAGAGCAUUUGUGCCCAGCCUCCUAAUAGCUCAUCGCCCCCAGCAUCUCAACCACCUGUCCGCACUUUCCGAGAAUCAGCCUCCCCAUCUGUGAAUCUAGUUACGGCCGCCGGGCUCCUUGGUGAUGCUGUGUCCUCUGUGCCUCUUUGUGGUCUAAAGAUGGAGCCCCAAGGAGCCAAGAAAGUCAAGGGCAUCCCUGUGAAUUUGGCAACAGAACAAAGAGAUGUAAGUUUAUACUCUUUCUUUCUGGGAGCAGCAGAUAACAGCCCCUUCCUGCCCUGGGGACUGGGAACAGAGCGAGAUAAGAGAUAAGCCCUGAAAUCAACACCCAGAGUGGGGCCUAGGUGAGGUGGGAGGGGCCUGACAGACUUGGAGACCUCCCCAAGGUCCACAUGGCCUUUCUGAGUUUCCCUGUGACUGGCCCACAUCCUAAAACUAAAUUCGUCUUGUUUACCAAAGCUGGUCAGUUCUGUCAUCUGAAAGUCAGUACAAUAGUUAAUAUCUUUACAUUGUCUUUAAUAACUCGUCAUUUCCUUUUCUGAAAAGAAGCACAUACCCUUGGGCUUCCCAGGGGGCGCUAGUGGUGAAGAACCCGCCUGCCAAUGCAGGAGACACAGAAGACAGGGGUUUGAUCCCUGGAUCGGGAAGAUCCCCUGGAGGAGGGCAUGGCAACCCUCUCCAGUAUUCUUGCCUGGAGAAUCCCACAGACAGAGGAGCCUGGCGGGCCACGGUCUGUGAGGUUGCAGAGUCAGACACAACUGAAGCAACUAGCACACAGGCAGGCACGCACACUUGCUUAGGAAACUUUUCCA
rnacentral:lncRNA from 1 species